UGCACAUCUAUCCUCGGG
rnacentral:piRNA from 1 species